UGUUUAAAUUAGACUCCUGAUAUACAUGGGUGUACAUAUACAUGUACAGGUCUAUGGCUAUGCACAGUGGUAAACCAGUAAAAAUGAAUGGAAUCCUUGUACAUAUUACAAUUUUGAACAGAUUAAAACAAGUCUGUCAUUAAUUAGUACUUAAAGAUUUGUGUAAUGUACAAUAAAAGCAUCCUUAGUGAUGGUGCCCAUAUAGACUACUGAACUAUUUCUUAAACAACACAUGGAUAAAUAAUAACAUAUUAUGUAAUGCACAUGCAAAUAUGCAUUCAAGAUGUACUUCUAAAAUAAUUUUAAAAAAUGAUUGUUUUUAGUGUCCAAGCUCAGAUAUAUGUAUUAACAUUGUUCUGUCCAGUACAAACCGCUAAUUUCCUAUUUUCUUCUCCAAUUACAGGAUCAAUGUGAGCGAUUAUGUGGCCAUAUAUUUUGAUGCACCUUCAUCUAGCAGCAGGACUACAAAUGGGGUGGUUUUCAUGGCUCUUGUAAAAGCUGUGAUUGAUGAUAAUGUCAAAGUCAAAUUCAUGCGCCGGAACAGCAAUGGUCUGUAUGAAUUUACAGAGGACUGUGAAGCCCAUCAGCCUAAAAAGAUGUAAUACAGAAGAUGACUCUACUAACCAUGACCCCAGCCGACAUAGCUUACCUAGCUUAUAAUUUUUAAGAAUGAGAACUGGACAUGUUGGCAGAUAAAUUUCUUUGAAAUAAGAAGUUGAACACAAUUGUGUUCUAGGACAAAAACCUGUAAAUGCUUACCAUGCUAUUGGUUUCAAAUAUAUGAAUGUCUGGGUAAAUGUUAUAACACAAACCAAACAAGUUCGUGGAAGCCACUGUGCAGAAAUGUAAUUCUUUGCACUAAGAAUAAAUGAUGACAAAGACGCAAGUGAAGGGUAAUGAUACAUUGCUAUGAAUUAACAUAAAUGGUUUCUAUGUGAACAAUUAUUUUAAGUACUUUACUUUCAGUUCAACAUUUUAUCAAAACUUCAAAAGUAAGUUUAAAUUUUGCCUUGUAUAUUGCCUUUGUAGUUGACAAUAUAGUGUGUUAACAUGUGUGAAGUCUCCGAAACACUACUUUGAACUAAUCCUAUACAUGUAUAUGUUCCCUGAAUGUUUCAACUUUGAUAUGAGAAAAGUGGUUUCCCUUGAAAUUACAUACUGGACAAUAUAUUUCAGCCCAGAUCAGCACAGAUUUGAAAUCCUCAUGGAUUCUAUUAAGUGACUUUGCAAUGUUUGCGUACUGAACAAAAAGCUCAUUGUAUUAAGUAAAGAUAAUUUGUAACAUACAUGUACCGUACUGUAUAUUAACAAGUAUUUUUACUCUGUAAACAAAUGUUUUAGGUGUUAUAUUAGUAAUUUAACAUAUCAUUAACAGUUUAAGUUGAAUUUUUCUUAAUAUGUUACCUAAGUAAUGGACAAAAUUUUAUGUUAACAUAAUUGAAGCCUCCAAAACAGGCAAGAUUGUUAACCUGAAGCCUCCGAAACACACACAUAUGAAAUUUUCAACUUCCUCAUUUGAAAUGCGAUUUCUUUGGAAUUUGCAUUGUAGUUAGCCCUCACUGAAUGGUAUUUGUAGAAUAAUUUUUAUUUUGCUCCCCCUCUUGGAAGAUAGGUAAAUUUGACAAAUUAAAUGUCAAAUUCAUAUUUUGUCUUGAAUUUGACAAACGCAUUGAAUUUUUUUAAAGACCAAAUAAGUUUGACCAAAAAGCUUUAUAAGCCUUCAAGUACAUUAGAAUAGCAAAUGAAAAAUCGCAAUUGAAUUAUGUUUGGAGAACAAAUGUUGUCAUUUAAGUUGAUAGAAUUAAAAUGUUGUUUUUGUUCAAAUUUAUCAUAUUUGUCACAGUUUUUCAUUAUUUGUCCAGGUUUCUCAUGUAGUUUAAGCUCCAGAACCAAAAAAAAUCCAUAAUUUAGUAAAAAUGAUUAUGAAAACAUAUUUUGAAAUUUUGACCCUGUUUGAGAAAAGUUACACCCUUUACCGUGAAAAUGACCAUAUAUAACAUGUAGUCCAAGUGGUACCAUAAUAGUAAUGACCCAUCAGUUCUGAUGCCAAGAAGAUUUAAAACCAGAGCAAACUAGAAAUAUCACUGAAGGUGAUUAAUACCCCUAAUCCAGUAUAUCCAACUCAUGUGAUCAUAAAGAAUGUAACUUGGGUUAAAAAUUAUUUGUGUAUAUGUGUUGUGUGUGUGUGUGUGU